GGGCCCGCACAAGCGGAGGAACAUGUGGUUUAAUUCGAUGAUACGCGAGGAACCUUACCCGGGCUUGAAAUGCAAUCGACGGUAGUGGAAACAUUACUUCCAGCAAUGGCGAUUGUGUAGGUGCUGCAUGGUUGUCGUCAGCUCGUGCCGUGAGGUGUCGGCUUAAGUGCCAUAACGAGCGCAACCCUUAUCAUUAGUUGCCAUCGGGUCAUGCCGGGAACUCUAAUGAGACUGCCACCGUAAGGUGUGAGGAAGGUGGGGAUGACGUCAAAUCAGCACGGCCCUUACGUCCGGGGCGACACACGUGUUACAAUGGGGGGUACAGCGGGCAGCUACCUGGCGACAGGAUGCUAAUCUCUGAAAGCCUCUCUCAGUUCGGAUCGGAGUCUGCAACUCGACUCCGUGAAGCUGGAUUCGCUAGUAAUCGCGCAUCAGCCAUGGCGCGGUGAAUACGUUCCCGGGCCUU
rnacentral:rRNA from 1 species